GGUAACAGGAAGCAGCUUGCUGCUUUGCUGACGAGUGGCGGACGGGUGAGUAAUGUCUGGGAAACUGCCUGAUGGAGGGGGAUAACUACUGGAAACGGUGGCUAAUACCGCAUAACGUCGCAAGACCAAAGAGGGGGACCUUCGGGCCUCUUGCCAUCAGAUGUGCCCAGAUGGGAUUAGCUAGUUGGUGAGGUAACGGCUCACCAAGGCGACGAUCCCUAGCUGGUCUGAGAGGAUGACCAGCCACACUGGAACUGAGACACGGUCCAGACUCCUACGGGAGGCAGCAGUGGGGAAUAUUGCACAAUGGGCGCAAGCCUGAUGCAGCCAUGCCGCGUGUAUGAAGAAGGCCUUCGGGUUGUAAAGUACUUUCAGCGGGGAGGAAGGUGUUGUGGUUAAUAACCGCAGCAAUUGACGUUACCCGCAGAAGAAGCACCGGCUAACUCCGUGCCAGCAGCCGCGGUAAUACGGAGGGUGCAAGCGUUAAUCGGAAUUACUGGGCGUAAAGCGCACGCAGGCGGUCUGUCAAGUCGGAUGUGAAAUCCCCGGGCUCAACCUGGGAACUGCAUUCGAAACUGGCAGGCUUGAGUCUUGUAGAGGGGGGUAGAAUUCCAGGUGUAGCGGUGAAAUGCGUAGAGAUCUGGAGGAAUACCGGUGGCGAAGGCGGCCCCCUGGACAAAGACUGACGCUCAGGUGCGAAAGCGUGGGGAGCAAACAGGAUUAGAUACCCUGGUAGUCCACGCCGUAAACGAUGUCUACUUGGAGGUUGUGCCCUUGAGGCGUGGCUUCCGGAGCUAACGCGUUAAGUAGACCGCCUGGGGAGUACGGCCGCAAGGUUAAAACUCAAAUGAAUUGACGGGGGCCCGCACAAGCGGUGGAGCAUGUGGUUUAAUUCGAUGCAACGCGAAGAACCUUACCUGGUCUUGACAUCCACAGAAGAAUCCAGAGAUGGAUUUGUGCCUUCGGGAACUGUGAGACAGGUGCUGCAUGGCUGUCGUCAGCUCGUGUUGUGAAAUGUUGGGUUAAGUCCCGCAACGAGCGCAACCCUUAUCCUUUGUUGCCAGCGGUCCGGCCGGGAACUCAAAGGAGACUGCCAGUGAUAAACUGGAGGAAGGUGGGGAUGACGUCAAGUCAUCAUGGCCCUUACGACCAGGGCUACACACGUGCUACAAUGGCGCAUACAAAGAGAAGCGACCUCGCGAGAGCAAGCGGACCUCAUAAAGUGCGUCGUAGUCCGGAUUGGAGUCUGCAACUCGACUCCAUGAAGUCGGAAUCGCUAGUAAUCGUGGAUCAGAAUGCCACGGUGAAUACGUUCCCGGGCCUUGUACACACCGCCCGUCACACCAUGGGAGUGGGUUGCAAAAGAAGUAGGUAGCUUAACCUUCGGGAGGGCGCUUACCACUUUGUGAUUCAUGACUGGGGUGAAGUCGUAACAAGGUAACCGUAGGGGAACCUGCGGUUGGAUCACCUCCUUACCUUAAAGAA
rnacentral:rRNA from 1 species